ACGGCUCGGUCGCUCGCAUGUCUCCGUCUCUCGUCUCUCCCUCACAUCUGGCAGGCACCGGGAGGCAGCGCCGGAAGGAGGCGAGCAGCGGCAAGCAGGAAAAGGCAGCGGUGGAUCGAUUCCAAGUCGUGCUCCUAGCCUCACCGCCGGCAGGCAGCAACAAGCGCCGGCGUCCCCUCCCCUUCUCGUCGGACCCGUCUAGGUCCAGCGACGGUGGCGGCCAUCUAUGGUAGCCUAAUGCAGAUGACAGAAAACGUGAUGAAGUUUUGAGGCAAAGUGUUGCUGAUGGUUGGUUAGUACUACAAGAUCAUCCGCUCUACACUGAUACUAGCUGCUUGGAUCUGGACACUUGUUUUGGGCAUAUAACCAUCAUUUAUAGAAUUCAAAGAAUUGUUCUAUCGAUUAUUUUUGUGCCACUAUAUAUGUGUCUUGUUCGUGUUUGAUGCCAAAGUUCAAUAUAUUGUACAUAAUCACAAAAACACAAGUGGAGAGAUGAAUAAGUCCAUUCCAUUCCAUUUAUGAAACCAAACACCAAAAUGUAACUAUUCCAUUCCUUUAAAUUGCCCCUACCAAACACAAGAACGGAACCGACCCAUUCUAGUGGAAUGGAACCAUGCCAUUUCAUUCCACUUCGUUUCCCAAGCAAACACACCUUUAGAUGCCUCACUUCCACAACCGACCCGGGUGAGGGACAAGUCGAGAAGAAAAAAGAUGGGAGCGGGUGAGGGCGAGGAGGUGCCGCCGCUCCCUUUGGUGGCCCAGGCUCCUGCGACCACCGGUCAGCUCUUCGUGUGCCCUUGGCCUGGUUGCCACGAGAUCACGGAGAACGCCUCGGAUGCCUACAUCCGCACUCACCGGAAGGCCCACCGGCUGCAGUGAAGCGGAUACCGCAGAGAAGAAUAAGCUGAAACAGAGGGCGGAGGACCGCGCCAAGGGCGAGCAGGCCCGCCGCAGGCGCGAGGCCAGGGCCCAGGCGAAGGUGAAGGACAAGGAUCUUAACCCCGGUAAGCGCGGCAAGGGCGGCAAAGGCGGCCGCAACGGGAAGGUCAAGGCCAA